rnacentral:rRNA from 1 species
GCUGGCGGCAGGCCUAACACAUGCAAGUCGAGCGAGAAAGCACUUCGGUGCGAGUACAGCGGCGGACGGGUGAGUAAUACAUAGGAAUCUACCCAGUAGUGGGGGAUAACUUGGAGAAAUCCAUGCUAAUACCGCAUAUGCCCUACGGGGCAAAGCAGGGGACCCUCGGGCCUUGCGCUAUUGGAUGAGCCUAUGUCGGAUUAGCUUGUUGGUGGGGUAACGGCCUACCAAGGCAACGAUCCGUAGCUGGUCUGAGAGGAUGAUC